rnacentral:rRNA from 1 species
GACGAACCGUGCAAACGUUGUUCGGAAUCACUGGUUUAAAGGGCGCGUAGGCGGGCAAGCAAGUCCGGGGUGAAAUCUUUCGGCCCAACCGGAAAAGGGCCUUGGAUACUGCUUGUCUGGAGGGAGGUAGGGGCAGACGGAACUUCCGGUGGAGCGGUGAAAUGCGUUGAUAUCGGAAGGAACGCCGGUGGCGAAAGCGGUCUGCUGGACCUCUACUGACGCUGAGGCGCGAAAGCCAGGGCGCGAACAGG